AAGAUGGCUCGAUAAAUGGCCUUGGAAAACUAAUUUACAAGUUCGGUAGUCGAGCUCCUGACGUUAAACGAAGUGCUAAGUGGAAGGCAAUCCACGACCUUUAAUCUUUUUCUUUUCUUUUUAGUUGUUUUAAUUUUUAUUAUUUUCAUCGGAGGAGAAGUGACUUCUCUCCGAGUGGAUCUCCUAGGAUUUAUGGAUGCCGUUAACGAAUAGUUCAAUCAUGUAUUCCAGCAAAUUCAUUCUUUGGAGCAUUCUCGUGCACCAAAGUGAUAGCUAGUAUUAAC
rnacentral:lncRNA from 1 species